CAGGGCACCAGGAAAACCUCAUUCUGCAACAAAUACACCUUGGGAGAGAUCAUCACGUAUCCUGCUUUUUAGCUACAGAAGAAAAGCAGUUUUAUUGAUGGUACAUUACUCUGAAUUUCAGUAGCGUCACCUGCACUGGAGCUGUACUUGGACUCCCACUGCCACUUUUGGUGAGGGAAUUUCUGCCACCUCCUCCAGCCCCCUGUGAAGACCCCACACACCCACCUUCCACAAAGGAAUAUAAAUCUCCAGAAACACGGCUUGAAAGAAAUUAGGAGUCACUACUGCCCACUCAUGCAUGGAAUGAAGCACAUCUCCUGCAGAAAAGUAAAAAACCAAAAAAAAGGAGGAAAAAGAAGACGACCAUGCAGAGUGUCAAAAUCAGUGCAUAAUUAAGUGCUGAAGAGCAGAAGCCAGGGUUUCUUAUUUCCUACUGCAUGACUACAACAGAGCAAAACACCUGCACUAUUUCACUUAACAAAGCAGAAUGGAAAGAAAAGUCUCCUGAGGCUUCUAAGCUUUUACAAAUACUUUAUGGGUGCGUAUACCUGCACGCAAAGACUCACAGAUCUGUGUAAAUGAUGUUGGGAGUAUACUGAAAAUGCAACAGAAAACUGUGUAAUGUGCAGUCUGAACUCAUCUUCUGCAGAUGUGAAUGCAAGAUUCUGUGACAUGACAGAAAAAUCAGGUUUUCAUCUUUCAGAUUCAGCGUACACUAAGGAUGUAGCAUACAGUAGGGUACAGAUCUGGCAGGAGACUGAGCAACAUGAGGUAACGCAGUGGAGUAAGGGAAACAACUGCACUGUGAUGUCUUAUUUUCACAAAUCCUUUUGAAUACUACGUUUGUCAAUCAGUACGCUGGCAGCAGAAACAUGGAUAUGAGCAUACUGCAGUUUAGCUACGGCUCCAAAUGC
rnacentral:lncRNA from 1 species